UUGAUCUGUCAGCUGUCAUUUUCAAUUCGGAUGAGAUGGUGUAGGUCGAUUCGUUUUCUUCAAAGGCCAGUGAGCAACAUUGUUUUUAAAUCGCGGUUUAAACCGCUUAAUCCUAUUCGAUGUGAAUCGUUUUGUCAAGAGUGAGCCCCGGGUGCAUGGAAAUUAUGCAAGUACCUAUCCUCCGAAGGCCUAUUGUCUGCCCCGGGGCUUCACGACUUACUACUUUACUAGUCCACGCGGUCGUCAGAGUCGAGCGUUUUACUGGUUUUACACAAUGUUCCUACUUCCACCACCUGGUCGCGUUGUCCCAAGCGCACCCUGAGGCUGUCUGCAGCUGAGAGUGGACUGGUGGGAGCAGAUCCGGACUGUUCCCCGGUACUUUCCCGGUUCGAAGUAUGGCGUCAGUGCAGGAGUGUGGUCUUGCAGACGAGGUCAGAGUAUUCCCUUUUAUUUUAUUAAGGCGCCCAAUAAUAAUAAUUUAGUAUUUUUACCUAUAAUUUACCAAGGUCUUCCAGCAUAUUGAAACACAGACUCACCCCCUGUGCUCUAAAUUAUUAUAUAUUUAAGUUACGACUGAGCUAGUUGCUAUUAUAAUAUUA